GUCGAACGGAAACCUUCGGGUUUUAGUGGCGAACGGGUGAGUAACACGUAAGCAACCUACCCUAAAGACGAGGAUAACCAUUGGAAACAGUGGCUAAGACUGGAUAGGAAGAUAAAAGGCAUCUUGUAUCUUUUAAAAGACCUAGUUAAUAGGUAUGCUUUAGGAGGGGCUUGCGCCAUAUUAGUUAGUUGGUAGGGUAAUGGCCUACCAAGACGAUGAUGUGUAGCUGGACUGAGAGGUUGAACAGCCACAUUGGGACUGAGACACGGCCCAAACUCCUACGGGAGGCAGCAGUAGGGAAUUUUCGGCAAUGGAGGAAACUCUGACCGAGCAACGCCGCGUGAAUGACGAAGUACUUCGGUAUGUAAAGUUCUUUUAUCGAGGAAGAAAAGCAAAUGGCGAACCAUUUGUUUGCCGGUACUUGAUGAAUAAGCCCCGGCUAAUUAUGUGCCAGCAGCCGCGGUAAGACAUAAGGGGCAAGUGUUAUCCGGAAUUAUUGGGCGUAAAGGGUGCGUAGGCGGUCUAGUAAGUCAGUGGUGUAAUGGCAACGCUUAACGUUGUCCGGCUAUUGAAACUGCUAAACUUGAGUUAGAUAGAGGCGAGUGGAAUUCCAUGUGUAGCGGUAAAAUGCGUAAAUAUAUGGAGGAACACCAGAGGCGUAGGCGGCUCGCUGGGUCUUAACUGACGCUGAGGCACGAAAGCGUGGGGAGCAAACAGGAUUAGAUACCCUGGUAGUCCACGCCGUAAACGAUGAGUACUAAGUGUCGGGUUAAACCGGUACUGAAGUUAACACAUUAAGUACUCCGCCUGAGUAGUACGUACGCAAGUAUGAAACUUAAAGGAAUUGACGGGACUCCGCACAAGCGGUGGAUCAUGUUGUUUAAUUCGAAGAUACCCGAAAAACCUUACCAGGUCUUGACAUGUUUUUGCAAAAUGAUAGUAAUAUCGUGGAGGUUACCAGAAACACAGGUGGUGCAUGGUUGUCGUCAGCUCGUGUCGUGAGAUGUUAGGUUAAGUCCUAAAACGAGCGAAACCCUUAUCGUUAGUUGCCAGCACGUUAUGGUGGGGACUUUAACGAGACUGCCAAUGAUAAAUUGGAGGAAGGUGAGGAUCACGUCAAAUCAGCAUGCCCCUUAUGACCUGGGCUACAAACGUGAUACAAUGGCUGUUACAAAGGGUAGCUGAAACGCAAGUUCUUGGCCAAUCCCCAAAAACAGUCCCAGUCCGGAUUGAAGUCUGCAACUCGACUUCAUGAAGUUGGAAUCGCUAGUAAUCGCGAAUCAGCAUGUCGCGGUGAAUACGUUCUCGGGGUUUGUACACACCGCCCGUCAAACCACGAAAGUUGGCAAUACCCCAAAACGGUAGCCUAACUCGUUUAUUCGAGAGGGCGCCGUCUAAGGUAGGGUCGAUGAUUGGGGUUAAGU
rnacentral:rRNA from 1 species